UCGAGAAUCUUCGGCAAUGGGCGCAAGCCUGACCGAGCGACGCCGCGUGUGGGAUGAAGGCCCUUGGGUUGUAAACCACUGUCAGAGGGGAUGAAAUGCGGGAGAGUUAUCUCUUCCGUUUGACAUAGCCUCAGAGGAAGCACGGGCUAAGUUCGUGCCAGCAGCCGCGGUAAUACGAACUGUGCAAACGUUAUUCGGAAUCACUGGGCUUACAGGGUGCGUAGGCGGCCAGACAAGUAGGGUGUGAAAGCCCCCGGCUUAACCGGGGAAUGGCGCCCUAAACUGUAUGGCUGGAGUGAGAUAGGGGUGUGCGGAACUUCCGGUGGAGCGGUGAAAUGUGUUGAUAUCGGAAGGAACGCCGGUGGCGAAAGCGGCACACUGGAUCUCAACUGACGCUGAGGCACGAAAGCCAGGGGAGCGAACGGGAUUAGAUACCCCCGUAGUCC
rnacentral:rRNA from 1 species